rnacentral:tRNA from 1 species
CGGUGUUUAGCGCAGCUCGGUAGCGCACUUGCCUUGGGAGCAAGGGGUCGUAGGUUCAAAUCCUAUAACACCGA